rnacentral:rRNA from 1 species
GAUGAACGCUAGCGGGAGGCUUAACACAUGCAAGUCGAGGGGCAGCAUAGGGUAGCAAUACUCUGAUGGCGACCGGCAAACGGGUGAGUAACGCGUAUGCAACCUACCCUGUACAGGGGGAUAACCCGGAGAAAUUCGGACUAAUAUCCCGUAAUAAUAUCCGGAGGCAUCUUUGGAUAUUUAAAGUUUCGACGGUACGGGAUGGGCAUGCGUAACAUUAGCUGGUUGGUAAGGUAACGGCUUACCAAGGCUAUGAUGUUUAGGGGUCCUGAGAGGGUGGUCCCCCACACUGGUACUGAGACACGGACCAGACUCCUACGGGAGGCAGCAGUGAGGAAUAUUGGUCAAUGGGCGCAAGCCUGAACCAGCCAUCCCGCGUGCAGGAAGACGGCCCUAUGGGUUGUAAACUGCUUUUCCAGGGAGAGAAACUUACGCACGUGUUGCGUGACUGACGGUACCCUGGGAAUAAGCAUCGGCUAACUCCGUGCCAGCAGCCGCGGUAAUAGUGU